rnacentral:rRNA from 1 species
CAAUGGGGGGAACCCUGAUCCAGCCAUGCCGCGUGUGUGAAGAAGGCCUUUUGGUUGUAAAGCACUUUAAGCGAGGAGGAGGCUUACCUAGUUAAUACCUGGGAUAAGUGGACGUUACUCGCAGAAUAAGCACCGGCUAACUCUGUGCCAGCAGCCGCGGUAAUACAGAGGGUGCGAGCGUUAAUCGGAUUUACUGGGCGUAAAGCGUGCGUAGGCGGCUUUUUAAGUCGGAUGUGAAAUCCCUGAGCUUAACUUAGGAAUUGCAUUCGAUACUGGGAAGCUAGAGUAUGGGAGAGGAUGGUAGAAUUCCAGGUGUAGCGGUGAAAUGCGUAGAGAUCUGGAGGAAUACCGAUGGCGAAGGCAGCCAUCUGGCCUAAUACUGACGCUGAGGUACGAAAGCAUGGGGAGCAAACAGGAUUAGAUACCCUGGUAGUCCAUGCCGUAAACGAUGUCUACUAGCCGUUGGGGCCUUUGAGGCUUUAGUGGCGCAGCUAACGCGAUAAGUAGACCGCCUGGGGAG